UCCAAUGAUGGCAAGUAAUCUUUGAGACCUGAUUUUCUGUUGAUGAAAAUUACAGGAAUCUUUCUGAGGAC